rnacentral:rRNA from 1 species
GAUGAACGCUGACAGAAUGCUUAACACAUGCAAGUCUUUGGCGAAGCUGUGCUUGCACAGCCUAGCCAAGGCGGACGGGUGAGUAACGCGUAAGGAACUUGCCCUGCAGUCAGGGAUAACAGACGGAAACGACUGAUAAGACCUGGUAAAGUCAGGCGGACUCAUGUCCAGCCUGAUGAAAAGAGAUGCUGCAGGAGAGCCUUGCGUCCUAUUAGCUUGUUGGUGGGGUAACGGCCCACCAAGGCGAUGAUAGGUAGCCGGCCUGAGAGGGUGGACGGCCACAAGGGGACUGAGAUACGGCCCUUACGCCUACGGGACGCAGCAGUGGAGAAUAUUGGACAAUGGGGGCAACCCUGAUCCAGCAAUUCGGUGUGCACGAUGAAGGUUUUCGGAUUGUAAAGUGCUUUCAGCAGGGAAGAAAAAAAUGACGGUACCUGCAGAAGAAGCGACGGCUAAAUACGUG